GACGAACGCUGGCGGCGUGCCUAAUACAUGCAAGUAGAACGCACAGUUUAUACCGUAGCUUGCUACACCAUAGACUGUGAGUUGCGAACGGGUGAGUAACGCGUAGGUAACCUGCCUGGUAGCGGGGGGUAACUAUUGGAAACGAUAGCUAAUACCGCAUAAUAUUGAUUAUUGCAUGAUAAUUGAUUGAAAGAUGCUAUUGCAUCACUACCAGAUGGACCUGCGUUGUAUUAGCUAGUAGGUGAGGUAACGGCUCACCUAGGCGACGAUACAUAGCCGACCGGGGAGGGUGGUCGGCCACACUGGGACGGAGACACGGCCCAGACGCCUACGGGAGGCAGCAGUAGGGAAUCUUCGGCAAUGGGCGGAAGUCUGACCGAGCAACGCCGCGGGAGUGAAGAAGGUUUUCGGGUCGUAAAGCUCGGUUGUAAGAGAAGAACGGGUGUGAGAGUGGAAAGUUCACACUGUGACGGUAUCUUACCAGAAAGGAACGGCUAACUACGUG
rnacentral:rRNA from 1 species